GACAAACGCUGGCGGCAUGCCUAAUACAUGCAAGUCGAACGGACAGAACAGGGACGCUCUUCGGUGUGGUUCUGGACAGACAGUGGAGGAAGGGUGAGUAACGCGUGCUCAACCUCUCUUGUAAAGGGGAAAAACCUCGACAAAUACAAGCUAAUAUCUCAAAACACCUUUGUCUCGCAUGAAGUACGGUGGUACGGUCGCCUUAGCGCUGUCGAUCCCCGCUGGGUCCGCGUCUGAUUAGCUAGUUGGUAAGGUAAAGGCUCACCAAGGCGACGAUCAGUAGCCGACCUGAGAGGGUGAACGGCCACACUGGAACUGAGACACGGCCCAAACUCCUACGGGAGGCAGCAGUAGGGAAUCUUCCGCAAUGGGCGAAAGCCUGACGGAGCAAUGCCGCGUGAGUGAAGAAGGCCUUCGGAUUGUAAAACUCUGUUCUUAGCGAAGAGAGAGUGUGGUAGUAACUGUGAAUACUAGGACGGUAGAUAAGGAGAAAGCCCCGGCUAACUAUGUG
rnacentral:rRNA from 1 species